GACGGAGGAUGCAAGUGUUAUCCGGAAUCACUGGGCGUAAAGCGUCUGUAGGUGGUUUAAUAAGUCAACUGUUAAAUCUUGAGGCUCAACCUCAAAAUCGCAGUCGAAACUAUUAGGCUAGAGUAUAGUAGGGGUAAAGGGAAUUUCCAGUGGAGCGGUGAAAUGCGUAGAGAUUGGAAAGAACACCGAUGGCGAAGGCACUUUACUGGGCUAGUACUAACACUCAGAGACGAAAGCUAGGGUAGCAAAUGGG
rnacentral:rRNA from 1 species